AGUGAACGCUGGCGGCGUGCCUAACACAUGCAAGUCGAACGAUGAUGGAGAGCUUGCCCUCCUGAUUAGUGGCGCACGUGAGAGUAUACCAUACAUAAUGUACAUCUUAGUUCAGGAUAGCCAAUGGAAACGGUGAUUAAUACGGGAUACCUAUUCUUGUCUUAUGACAACUCGGGAAAGUUUGUUCGGUAAGAGAUCAGUCUAUGUCCUAUCAGCUAGUUGGUGAGGUAAUGGAUCACCAAGGCAAUGACGGGUAUCUGGUUUGAGAGGAUGAUCGGACACACUGGAACUGAGACACGGUCCAGACUCCUACGGGAGGCAGCAGUGGGGAAUAUUGCACAAUGGAGGAAACUCUGAUGCAGCAACGCCGCGUGGAGGAUGACGCAUUUCGGUGUGUAAACUCCUUUUAAGAGGGAAGAUAAUGACGGUACCUCUUGAAUAAGCACCGGCUAACUCCGUGCCAGCCGCCGCGGUAAAAC
rnacentral:rRNA from 1 species